AACGAACGCUGGCGGCAGGCUUAACACAUGCAAGUCGAGCGCCCCGCAAGUGGAGCGGCAGACGGGUGAGUAACGCGUGGGAACGUACCUUUUGGUUCGGAACAACUCCGGGAAACUGGAGCUAAUACCGGAUAAGCCCUAACGGGGAAAGAUUUAUCGCCGAACGCUCGGCGCGCGUCUGAUUAGCUAGUUGGUGAGGUGACGGCUCAUCAAGGCGACGAUCAGGAGCUGGUGUGAGAGGAUGAUCCGCCACACUGGGACUGCGACACGGCCCAGACUGCGACGGGAGGGAGCAGUGGGGAAUAUUGGACAAUGGGCGCAAGCCUGACAAAGCCAUGCCGCGGGAGUGAUGAAGGGCGUAGGGUUGUAAAGCUCUUUUGUACGGGAAGAUAAUGACUGUACCGGAAGAAUAAGCCCCGGCUAGCUUCGUG
rnacentral:rRNA from 1 species